rnacentral:ncRNA from 1 species
GAUAAAUGGAAUGUGGCAGCCAAGUUUGCAUUUGUUUUUCAUCAACGACGUUGCUUUUUGAUCCUUCGAUGUCGACUCUUCCUACUAUUGUGAAGCAGAAUUCGACAAGCGUUGGAUUGUUCACCUACCAACAGGGAACCUGAGCUGAGUUUAGACCGCGGUGAGACAGUUU